rnacentral:rRNA from 1 species
CGGUGGUAGAUAGCGGUGGGGAAACGCCCGGUCCCAUUCCGAACCCGGAAGCUAAGCCCGCCCGCGCUGAUGGUACUGCAUCCGGGAGGAUGUGGGAGAGUAAGACACCGCCGACCU